GGAGAUCGAUGACGAGGGAGAAUGGAUCCAAGAUCUCGGAAAUGUGGAGAAAGCAAAGUAUGAAAUUGAUUAAUUAAUAAAUCAAUUACGACUAUAAAAUGUUGAAUAAAACCAAGUUCAAGAAAAGUGUGUAGACAAGGAGAAGAAAUACCAAUGUCGAUCCGAACCGAUGCAAACCAGAAAAAUCCAAAAUAAGGAACAAAAUAAUUCGGAAAAAGAAAAAA